rnacentral:rRNA from 1 species
UACGUAGGGGCGCAAGCGUUUAUCCGGAAUUAUUGGGCGUAAGAGCUCGUAGGCGGUUUGUCGCGUCUGCCGUGAAAGUCCGGGGCUCAACUCCGGAUCUGCGGUGGGUACGGGCAGACUAGAGUGAUGUAGGGGAGACUGGAAUUCCUGGUGUAGCGGUGAAAUGCGCAGAUAUCAGGAGGAACACCGAUGGCGAAGGCAGGUCUCUGGGCAUUAACUGACGCUGAGGCGCGAAAGCGUGGGGAGCAAACAGG